CCCUUAGAUGUCCUGGGCCGCACGCGCGUUACACUGAUGCAUUAAACGAGCUUAUAACCUUGGCCGAGAGGCCUGGGCAAUCUUGUUAACGUGCAUCGUGAUAGGGAUAGAUUAUUGAAAUUAUUAAUCUUGAACGAGGAAUUCCUAGUAAACGCAGAUCAUCAAUCUGCAUUGAUUACGUCCCUGCCCUUUGUACACACCGCCCGUCGCACCUACCGAUUGGAUGGUCCGGUGAAGCCUCGGGAUUGUGGUUCUUGCCGCUUUAUUGUGGCGUGACCGCGAGAACUUGUCUAAACCUUAUCAUCUAGAGGAAGGUGAAGUCGUAACA
rnacentral:rRNA from 1 species